UGGAUUGAAACCUCUACAAACUGUGAGCUGAAAUAAACCACCUAGCCCUUUGUGAGGGGGAAGAGUGGACAGAAAAACCCUUCCUGGAAGAUGGCCCACCUAAGAGAACUCAAAACUAGAGGAGAUUGUGGUUGUCAAGUAGCCCUGCUCUAGCCUCAGGUACAGACAGUGGGCUCCAAAUGACAGCCAACCAAUGUGACAGCAGCCUGGAGACCAGAUUCUACCAAAGCCUGAAUAAAGCUGGAAGAUUCCACAUAAGCAUUGAGUCUGCCCCACACCUUGAUUACAGCCUUGUGAGCAUCCACACAGGAGCCCAAUUGAGCCUGCCCACAUUUCUGACCCACAGAAUUACGAGCUAGUGAAUAAAGGCUGUUUUGAUUUA